rnacentral:lncRNA from 1 species
CUAAUUAGACAUCCAAAACCCAGCAUGGAAUCCAUUUGAGAAGGUGGACAAUAGACAAACUCCAACGCAUACAGACAGUAAAGAAGAAUUUAGACGCAAUCACUGUGGCUGAAUAAAUGGGCCUAUUAAGCCUAUUAAAAGUUGGAACCAUAUUCACCACUCGCAGUUCCUUAGAGAACUUUAUCAGAAUUCUGAAAAUUUAAAACUAUUCUUACAUAUUUAACUGUAAAACAAGAGAAAUUGUACUUCCGUAGCAAAGUCUCACUAUUGGUAAGUAUCUGGACUUGGAAAGGAUGCUAGUUGAUUAAGUAAAGGAAAAUUGAAAUCAGACUUUGAGGUGAUAGAUCUAUAUACACUUUAAUCGGAACCACAUUAACAUCAUAUGAGCCAAACAAACAAAUUCCCCAGUCAAAGUUCAACAAACAAAACAUUAAAACAAGAGUAAUUUGGUGUAUCAAUGUAUAUAUAGAGAUGUCGAUCAUUGACAAAUACGUAAAAGAGGGAGGGAGAGACCUCAAAGCCGUGCUUAACAACAUUGCUACUCCAAUAACUUCAAAAUGGUUGGCGACGUCUCUAUCAAAGCCACACAAUAGCUGAUAUCUCAUGUUUGCAUGUAGUCCAAUGAAAGCACCAUAACCAAGAACAUUAGUACUCACAGAUGGGUUUGUCACAGAUAACCUGUCAGGCAAUAAAAAUUGCCCAAAUUAAACAAAUGUUAGACCGGCUUAGACAGUAAACGGAACAAUUUCUAAUUUUACUUAUUUUAUAACGAAUAAGUGAACAAAGGAAUGAAAAGGAAGUUUGGCAACAGUCUUUUUACCAGCCAGAUAGUUUGACAAAGAAUCUUGCACUGCUCCUGCAGCUAAUCCACCAUACACAACUCUGCAGUCUUGUUUGGGAGUCAAAAUUCUCAAAAUGGGUAACUCUGUUCAAAUAUACUGUUUGGGAACUUUUGUAAUGUAUUUUGCAAGUCAAACAGGAAGGUAUUUCCAUAAGAAGGUUCACUUCACAUGCUCAACAAUUCAAAUUUGCGGAUGAUAUUUCUCAAAAUGGAGGGCUCUAUUUGGCUUGCCAACAAUCUUCCUCACCAUUAUCAUCCUUGCUAUACCGGUUAAACUGAACAGUCUUCAUUCUGACAUUUGCCCUAUUAACCUGAGUACACAAGAAUCCGAAACAACUGUUAGAAAUUAUAAUCUUUAUAUAUAGCCAAAAUGUUGAAUAAGAUGAUGUACUUGAUAAUAAAAUACCUGAGUUAAUAAAUAAUUAAGGGCCGGUAACAAUGUCAGCAUCUUAUCAAGUGGGAAAGCCUACGCAACGAAGAUGCUGCCUGCUUUCAAGAAAUAAUAACUUUCCAAUUCCAUAAGGUAGGUUAAUGCCCUUUUAAAAAUAUCUCCACCAGCCUAACAAUUAUUCAUUGAAAUGUGUGAGUGUGAAUUCGAACGAAUUAAUCAAAUAUGAUGACACGAGAAAGAAAAUUAAAAUAACCACAAGAAGUAGAAAUAUACUUUUGUUAUAUUUAGUGCAUCUUCUGUGUGUGCUCAAACGCAAUGCCUCAAGGCGCAAGAUAAUUUUAUGACCAUCAAUCUUUUGCAGCCAUAUGCAGACUUGAAACAUUGGCGGUGGUUCUAAGGAACUUGAAAAUUAGAAAAGUUUCAAAAUGAGUGACUAAAUAUGAUAAUCGAAAUUAAUUAAAUAUACACGCCUUGUAAAUAUGAAACUAAAUUACUCAAAUGUAUGUGCCUCUUCGCGCAGCAAUUGCUCGUGGUGGAAACUUUACUGCAAAGACUUCCUCAAACCCUUGAAGAUCACACUCUUCCUGGCAACAAAGAAACAGAGUCGAUAUACGAAGAUGAUUUUACUAACAAGUGAGAGCUUGCAAAUAUUGGAAGGAUAACGAUUGCUCAUAACCCAAAUCCCCAAUACCCUCUAAUAUCUCACUCGAGUGAGUUCAAGCCCCCAAAAUUCACUACAGUGAAACUCUCGAAACAAAAUUCUCUUCAAAUAUUCUCAACUCAAAUUUGAUAAUGAUAUCUCUUGAAGGAAGGCAAAAAAUCUAACACUGAUCAAAUUGGCUUGUGAACAAUUAAUGUUCCUGGCCAUCAUUCAUACUAGGUGUGGCGAACAAUUAAGCUGCUUAGUAUCCUGAACCUGAUAACUUACACAAACACAAAACAACUUGCCUAAAGUUUAAUAUUUAGAGGCAGAACGGUAAAGAAGAAGAUAUAUAUUGAUACUAAAAUUUGACUUGCGUUACCCUGAUGUCAAGAAUAGCGGGAUCUCAUGUGGGCAAAAUCUUCGCAAUACGAGAUGCUUGCAAAAUUGAAGCAGCAUCUUAUCACCUGUAAUUUAAUUAAGAUAAUAACUUUCCCCGACUAUUUCAAUGCAUUAUUGGCAACUAAAUUCAGAGGGCGCUAAUUAAAUACCCUUUUAACAAUAUCUUCUUAUCUUCUUAAUCUAGCAGUUAUUUGGAAAAUCUAAAUGACACUUUUAUGUAUUCUGUGAGAUGCUCAUUCAACCAUGUUUGCAUUCUUCUUAUACUAAUAGGAGAUUUAAUUUUUACCCUCAAGUCAAUGUCAAUGUGAACGUUCUUUUGUGCUGCAAAUUGAAGGAGUCCCCACAGGAGUCACCGUCGUGGUUACUUGCUGCUCUUAAGAUAAUUAGUAACAAAAUAUUUGUAAACUGCAACAAAAAGCUCAGUGCAAUCUAUCUAUGAAUCUUGUGAGUUCACAUAUAAUACAGUCGAUUUAGAAUAGUCAUAAAUUUUUUUAUUAUAAAUAUUAGUAUAUUUUUAAUGGUAUAAUAUAUAUCGAUGAAACUAUAUAGAGUAAUUUCGCCUAAUUGUAUAAAUUCAUUACGAAUAUCAUCACAAAUUUGUAUUUGGUCGGGACCGUGCGAGUGAAAUUUUUGAUAAAAUCGUCUCCUGACAAUUUAUUUAUUAUAUUCCAUUCCUUUUAUUAUCAGGUAGGCCAAAGCCAUUUGGACAUUUGAAAAAAGUAUGUGAUUCUGUUUUAGUCUAUUAUGUCACGACAAAAAGAGAAUUGGAAAAUGUAACAUUCUCAAAUUAAUUUGUAGUGGAAAAGAGAAAAAUAAGACAAAAGUUGGAAAAAUCAUGCAGCCGACCCUUUUUUUUUAUCUGAUUGCGCAAUAUUAGGUAGGCGAAUGCGACUUCAUCGAUAUCACACAGCAGUGGUUCUGUCAUUAAUUUUUUCUUUUAUUUAAUUAAGAAAAGGAAGAAAAGAUAGCACAUGUUAUGAUUAUUGUGAAUUUUCCAUCCCUUAUAUAAAUUCUCAAAUUUAUUUAAAUUGUGAGUCAUAGAAGUAUAUUACCUAAACUAUUUUAUCAGGCCAUGUUCGGAUACUAGGAUUAAGUAUGGAAUUGGACUAAUUUUGUGAUUAUAUUUUAUAUCAAAUUUGGUAAGCUUAAUUGAAUUGGACUAAGGGACUAAAUUUAAGUUUAAUCCUAAAAUUAUGGGAUUAAUAAUCCUAAUUUACACAUUCCUUUAGUUGGGACUUGGGAUAAGAUUAAAGAAAAAAGUUAUCCAUUUAUGAGACUUUAAUUUAUGUCAUUAUUUUUUUAUUUAUACUUUAAUAUUAAUUAAUUUAUUAAUUUAUUUUUAAUUUAUGAUUUUACUUAAAAUUUAUUUUUAUUUAUUAUCUAUUAUCUGGUUAAAUUAGAACUUUACUUCUACUAACUCUUGCGAUUAAUUUUUCAUUACUUGCGUAUUUGAUAAUUUGCCAAUAAAAUUAACCAUUUAAUAAUUUCUUGCAUUAUUUGAUUGUAUUAAAUUUAAUAAUCACUAAUAUAAUAUUAAAAAUAAUCAUGAAAAUUAAUAAUACCUUCAAUUAAUUGAUUUUUAUAUACUUUUUUAAAUAUUUGAUAAGAAGUUGAUAAAAAUUAAUUAAGGAUUUAAAAUUUUAUUCAUUUUUUAUUUAUUUAUUUUAUCAUGAAUACCCAGUAUCUUACAAUAUAAUUAAUUUUCUUAUUCAGACUACUCAGCAUCAGCUCCUGUAAAAUUUCUUACAUUAUAAGCAACAAAAUAUUUAUAAACUACAACAAAAGGCUUAGAUCAAUCCACCGAUGAACCUUUUGAAGUUAUAUAUAAUAUAUUAAUUGUUGAUCUAGAAUAGUCUUAGUGGAUAGAUUUUUUUUAAUUAUAAAUAUUAAUAAAUUUUUUAUCGUUUAAUAGAUAUUGAUGAAAUUAUAUGGAGUAAUUUCGCCUAAUCAUAUUAAUUCAUUAUGAAUUUCAGCACAAAUUUGUAUGUGAUCGAUCUGGACCGUGUAAGUGAAAUUUAUUUACUAUAUUUUUCAACUUGGCCGACAACAUCUUUUUGUCAGGUAGGCAAAAGCAAAAGCCAUUAUCUCAUUAAUUGAUUUGGUCAUUUGAGAAUGUAACUCUAUUAUGCCGUGACAAACUCCAAGAUCUAAUUUAGAGAGCGACCCAAAUAAUGGUAAUUAGUAAUUUAUUACAUCUGCAGUUAGAUAGAUACUUUGUCUGGGAAAAAAAUAAAAUCAGUUUUAUAAUGAUUUUAAUUAAUUCAUUUGGUCAUUUGAAAAAGUUGUGGCUCUGUUUUAGUCCAGUGUCAAUAUAUAACUUUAUUAUGUCAUGACAAACUUCAAAAUUUAAUUUAGAGUGUGACUCGAAUAAUUUUAAUUAGUAAUUUAUUAUAUCUACAGUCGGAUACUUUGUUGAGAAAAAAAAAAAUAAAAUCUGUCCCAUAAUGAUUUUAAUAAAUAUCAUACUAUUGUCUACGGACUUACCUCAUAUUACAAAGAAUUAAAAUAUGCGAAAGAUAACUAAGGAAUAAAAUUUUUCCACAAUGAUUUAUAAAAAUUGCUUUUGAAGAACGGUUAUGAUAUUAUAUUAAAUUACUAAGAAUUUAGUUAACCUCUCAAGAAGUCUAUUUGGUUGACUUCUCGAGUUUAAAAUUCGAAUGUCAAAAAAGAUAAAAGGUUAAAAAAAAUAUUUUAAAUAUUAUCCACCCUUUUACUAUUUUAAUAUACAAAAAGAAGAAUUACUUGUUUUUAACAAUAGCAACCGGGGGCAUAAUAUAUCUGAUGGAUUUUUUUAAGGAACAAAACUUAUUAUAUCUCCUAUCAAAAAUGUCAUUUUUGUUAGUAAAAGGAUAUCUAUAUCUCCAAAUUUUGGAAAAAUGGUUACCAGCGCUUCCAAGUCCUAAAUUUUCAAAAAGAGACACUAAAACUCAUUUUUUACUACAAUACCCUUUACUUUUAUUAUCCCAAAAGUUAACUUUAAUUUUUUUUUAUAAUAAAUAGAAAUAUAAUAUUAAAAUAAAUGUAUUAAAAUUUAAAUUAUUAUGAAAAAUAAUAAUUUUAAUAUUAUUAGUAUAUGAGACUUUUUUAAUUGUAAAAUGUAUUUAAUGCAAAUAUUUAUUUAAAAUCUCUAGAAUAAAUACAAAUAUAUUAUUAAAAUAAAUAUAAUAAUUUACAUAUUUAAAUUUAUUUUAAUAUUAUUAAUCUACUACAUAGAUUACAUUAUUUAUAUAAUAUUUGUGUUUACUAAAAAUUUGCAAGUUAAAUUUUUUCGGGAUACUAAAGGUAAAGAGUAUUAUGGUCAAAAGAGAGUCUUGAUGUCAUUUUUAGAAAACUUGGGGUGUUGGUGACUAUUUCUCCAAACCAUGGGGAUAUAGAUAUCCUUUUCUCUUUUUUAUUUUAAACAAGUGGUGACUAAAGAUUAAACUGUCAUAUAUUCACAAGAUAUUCACCACAAAAUUUGUAGGAAAUUUCUUCUUCCCUAAGCGGAAAAUACAAAACAAAAACAUAAUUGGCAAUUUCACUAGCAAAACUAAUAAUACUUUUGUUCCAUAUCCAGGGGUAGAGCUCGGGGUAAAUCUUCAUGACGCCCAAAUUCAAAUUUCAAGUGUUAGCUGGGAAUUAAUUUUAGACAAUUUUAUUUAUUUAUUUAUAGCUAGUAUGUAAUUGUUAGGUAUUUCAAAAUUUGAGAAUUUUGUGAUUCUGUGAGAAUGUUGAUUCAAGCAUGUUUGCAUUCUUCUUAUAAGUACCAUAGGAGAUAUUUAGUUUUUUACCCUCAAGUCAAUGUCAAUGUGAACGUUGUUUUGUGCUGCAAAUUAAAGGAGUCCCCACAGGAGUCACCGAUUUGCUUUGAGAAUUUUGAGAAUUAUGUUUUGCGAGUGAAAUUGCCAUUUUGUCAUAAUGGAAUUUUGCUUUCUGAUCAAUAAUUGAGAAUUUUGCUUGUAGCUACAGGCUGCAGCGAUUUUGAUUUGACGGCUUUGAUUCAUAAUUGAAGUUACUGUUGCAAGUAAAAACUAAAAAAAUUAACAAAAUAAAAAUCAAAGACUUAGGUCCAUGUUGCAAGUAAAAACUAAAAAAAUUAACAAAAUAAAAAUCAAAGACUUAGGUCCAUGUUUUAUCAAAAUUUUAAUAAAAGGCUAUUUGUCAUUUUGUCAUAAUGGAAAAAUGAUUAACAAAAUAAAAAAAUCGAAUUUACUUGAUUUUAUUUUACAAAAUAUAAAUUAAAUUUCUAUUAUAUGUAUAAAGUUUAUACAUCAAGUGCUUAGGGGUCAAAUCAAUCUUUUUAUACCUAAUUUUUAAUAUUUUACUUCGAAACCUCAAAAAUUUUUAAAGUUUGUUGGGUCACAAUCCCCGCUAGGAGUGGGCAAAUUUGUGUUCAUAUCAACUUGAAUAGGUUUUGGGUUGAUUAGGCUAGAACUGGAUCAGAUCAAAAAGUAUGAGAGAAAUUAAUUGAGCUUCUCCCAAGAAAAAUACAUACAGAUGAUUGAUAUAUAACCAUUAAAUAAUAAAUAUGUUAGACUUACAUUUAUUUUUUAGCCCUAAAAGUAUGAAAAAAUUAAUACUUUCCGAAUUUAUUUUUUGUACCGUAAAGAAUCAAAUUACUCACAAAAUUAUUUUUAACUUUCAUCAUGCAAACAAACAAAUCAUCAUCAAUUUCAAUAGAAAGAAGUAGAAUAUGAUGUAUUUAGGACUUCCUACUCUAUUAGCUAGGUUAAUAACAUGUUAAUUGUCACAUCAUUAAUUUUAGAUUAUAAAUUUUAUAUUCAAACUUUGUAUGACUGCUCCUUUUUCAAUGAUCUAAUGUUAGAGUGCAAUUUAUGCACUAGUUUUGCAUUGUUUACUUCCUUUAAUAUUGAUAUUUUACACUUAAUAAUAGUGAUUUACUUGUAUUUUAUUUUUGUAGGUGCAAUUCUAUUGAUUGGUGCUAAAAUUGAGAUACAAGAUGAUGUUUAAGGAUGGUUGUUCUCUUGGAUAAAUUAUGAGUGUCAGAAGAACUUUGUUGAUAAGGCGUGGGCGCGUGCUGUCAACUACGGACCUGCAGUUUUUAGUUUAAUGUGUUUUGUAUUUUUGGUUAUUUUUGUAAUUAUGAAUUUAAUGUUUCAGAUAUUAGUAUUUUAUUUUAAAUAGAACUCUAGAGGAGAAGAGAGGGAGAGUAUUUAAGGGAGGAAUCUAUUGUGAAAAAUGUGAGAGAUUGGAGAAAAAGAAAGAAACCCUAGAUCUAAACUUUUCUCUUCUCUCUAUGAAGAACUAAACCUAUUUUUCUAGUUGAAGGUUAAUGAAGCUUUGAUUCAUCACUACUGUGAGAUCUUUCUUAUGCUUUAAUUGUUUUAUUGCUUUUUGGGUAUUUGUUUAUUUUUUGAAUUAUUUUCAUGAUUAUGUUUGUUAAUUAGGUAAUUGGACACUAUUUAAUUAUCAACUUAAUCUAUUGUCAAUUCAAUGAUUCAUCGUAUGAAGAUUUUAAUGUUUGUGACAAAUAACAUAGCAGUGAGUUGUAUUAUGAGAAUAAACAAUCUAAUUUAAAUGAACCAUCGUAUGUGUUUGUUGAUUAGGAUUUGGGUCUCUCUGGUUUUUCAGGCUGUCAAUUGAUAUAAUCUUAUGAUUGUAUUUAGGGUUGUCUAUUGAUUAGGGAAAUAACCAACGGUCGUACCUUGGUUAUCGACUAGUUAAGGAGAGAUUGGCUAUUAGAGGGUCUCAGUAGCUAUAACCGGUGUAUUCAUAAGUAGUAAUAAUUUAUAUUUGAAUCAAUGAUUAGUAGUCGAAUCAAGCUCAGUUAAUUCCUUCAACCAAAGCUUUCUCCAAUUUGAAUUACAACUUUAAUUUGCAUUCUAGUUAUUUUAAUUUGAUUUCUAUUAUUGUCAACAACUCCCCCAUUUUACGUUUUACAUUUUAAAAGGAUUUAAAUAAUUACCGAUCUCUGUGAACACGACCCUGCUCAAUCAUUAUACAUAAUUUAUUUAGAGUAUGUAUUUAUUUUUGCUGUCUUCGACAAUCAUCAAAUUUUGGCGCCGUUGCCGGGGAUUGGUGUCGUUUAUUUAAUCCUUUUUACAUUUUACUUGGUGUAUGGUUCAUUCUUCUCGUACAGGUACACUUUCGUUUGAUCCUGAAAUUGAGAAGACAGCUCGCCAGCUGAGACAGCAGACGAAGCAAGCUAAGCAACGAUUCUCGUCGCCUUUGCUUUUUGAAACAGAUACAGUGUCUGAUUUGAUUGAAUCAUCUAGCGAUUCAGAAGAACAAGUGAUGGAUAGAGCUGCACCUGUAGAAAGAACUCUUAAAGAGUUAGCUGAACCAGACUUGAAUCAGCAACCACUCUGCAUUCAAUAUGUAGACUUGGAGGUAAAUUUUGAAUUAAAGUCUGGUCUUAUUAAUUUAUUACCCAAGUUUCAUGGUUUUGCAGGUGAAGAUCAUCAUAAACAUCUCAAGGAGUUUCAUGUUGUGUGCUCAAGUAUGAGGCCACAAGGCGUGACUGAAGAGCAGAUUAAGCUGUGUGCUUUUCCGUUCUCUGCAGAUGGGCUAGCUAAAGACUCGUUGUACUACUUGCCUCCUGGAUUGAGUACAACGUGGAAUGGUUUGAAGAAGCAGUUCCUUGAGAAGUACUUUCCUGCUUCAAGAGCUGCCAACAUCAGAAAAGAUAUUUGUGGGAUCAGACAACUUCCUGGGGAGAUUUUGUAUGAGUAUUGGGAGUGAUUCAAACAAUUGUGUGCCAGCUGUCCUCAGCAUCAGAUUUCUGAUCAACUUCUUAUUCAAUAUUUUUACGAAGGACUGUCAUUGAUGGAUAGGAGUAUGAUAGAUGCUGCUAGUGGAGGCGUGUUGGUGAACAAGACCCCUACUCAAGUAAGGGAGUUGAUCUCAAAUAUGGCUGCCAAUGCACAACAAUUUAGCAGCAGGCAAGAUCCCACUUCAAAGAAGGUGAAUGAGGUAAAUAUUUCUUCUGUUGAACAACGUUCAGAUAAACUUACUUCUCUUGUGGAAAAGUUUGUUUUAGGUAAUGUACAAUAGGUGAAGACUUGUGGCAUCUGUUACAAUAUGGGUCAUUCAACUGAUAUAUGUCCUACGCUUCAAGAAGAACCCGUUGAACAAGCCAAUGUAGUUGGAGGAUUUCCAGGCAAGCCUCAGAAGAGGUAUGAUCCUUAUGCACAAACAUACAAUUCAGGGUGGAAGGAUCAUCCCAACUUCAACUAUGGAGUUAGGCCGUCAGGAUUCCCACAACAGUAUCCACCAAGACAACCAGCACCUCCACAGUCAAACUCCAAGUCAGGUAUAUCUCUUGAAGAAAUUGUUAAAUCACUUGCAACUAACACUCAACAAUUUCAGCAGGCAACUACAGCAAGCAUUCAGAAUUUGGAGAACCAAAUGAGUCAAUUGGCCACUACAAUGAGCCGUCUGGAGUUUCAAGUAUUAGGGAGAUUGCCUUCACAAUCUGAGGUAAAUUUAAAGCAAAACGUUAGUACUGUCAUCCUUAGAAGUGGGAAGGAGUUACAAGAGCCUAGUAAGAAAGUGACAAAGCAUGUAGAAGAUGAGCUUGAGAAGAAUGAAUUGAUGCCUAAAUCUCAAGAUGCGCAACCCACCAAAGCGAAACCCCUACCUAUUGUGAUACCUCCUCAUUUUCUAAGCCGGUUUGUAAAAUCCAAGAAGGAGGAACAAGAGAAAGACAUCCUUGAGACAUUUCGCAAGGUUGAGGUAAAUAUUCCUUUAUUAGAUGCUAUAAAACAAAUACCUCGAUAUGCUAAAGUUCUUAAGGAACUGUGCACCUCCAAGAGAAAAUUAAGAGGAGAUGAAAAAGUUCACAUGGGGGAGAAUGUUUCAGCAGUUCUCCAAAAGAAAGUACCUCCUAAGUGCAUGGAUCCAGGUAUGUUUACUAUCCCUUGUAAAAUUGGUAGUGUUAGAGUUGAAAAUGCUAUGUUAGAUCUAGGAGCUUCUAUUAAUGUCAUGCCUCGUUCCAUUUAUUCAUCUUUGAAUGUUGGUCCAUUGAAAAAAACUGGCAUGAUAAUUCAACUAGCUGAUAGGUCUAAUGCAUAUCCUGAUGGGGUAUUAGAAGAUGUCUUAGUACAAGUUCAUGAGUUGGUUUUUCCUGUUGAUUUUUAUGUACUUGAUAUGGAAGAGGAUAACUCCUCUAAUUCUUUCCCAAUUUUGCUAGGAAGACCUUUUCUUAACACUACUAGGACUAAAAUGGAUGUACAUAAAGAGACUCUCACUAUGGAGUUUGAUGGAGAGGUUAUAGAAUUCAAUAUGAAUGAUGCCAUGAAAUAUCCUAAUGAGAAACAUUCGGCAUUUUCUGUGGAUGUUAUUAACCCUAUAAUGCAGGAAGUUUUUUACAAGGAAAAGACGAAGAAAUUUCAUGAUAGAAUGAUUUUGAGAAAGGAGCUCUCUGUUGGUCAAAAAGUUCUUUUUUAUUCUAAGCUUAAACUUUUUCCGGGUAAAUUACGUUCUUGCUGGGUUGGACCUUUUAUUAUUACUAAUGUUUUUCUUCAUAGUGCAGUUGAGAUUCGGAGUCCGACCUCUGACAAAGUUUUUAAGGUUAAUGGUCAUCGGUUAAAACCUUUUUAUAAAGGUUUUUCGGUGAAUAUUGUGGAGGAUAUGGCUCUCAAGAGUCCCAAUUAUGGAGAUUGAUGCAUAAAUGUGUCUAACCAAAGACAUAAAACAAAGGCGCUUUUUGGGAGGCAACCCAAAUGAUUUAUUUAUUUUGGUUUUUGUUAUAUCUUCUUUUCAUUUUGAUUCAGAUUUUUUAAAAAAAAUAACGUGUUUGCUUAUUUUGGCCAGAAGAAAAUGUUUGAUAAGGCGUGCCCACAUCUUAACUAAUAAGUACUUCUGUGAUUUUUAACGUAAAAUGGUUUUAAGGCGUGCGCACGUGCUUAUUAAAAAAGUACUUCUGAAAUUUUUAGUGUCUCAAGUGAUACAUCACUAAAAAAAAAAUUAUUUUAUUUAUUUAUUUAUUUGAAAAUUAAAAAAAUAAAAAAAGUUUUUUUUUCUUUUCUUUCUUUUAUAUUUUUAUUUAUUUGAAAAAAAUUUAAAAAAUGAAAAAAUAAAAAAAAGUUUUUUCUUUUUUUCUUUUAUAUAUUUUAUUUAUUUAUUUAUUUGAAAAAAAAUUUAAAAAAUAAAAAAAUUUUACUGUUCACAAAAUCCCUAAUUCACAGAAUUAGUGUUCUUCUCCAGCCGCUCCAGCCUUCACCGAGCAGCCACGCAGCACCAGCUCCAUCCCCAGCGCGCAGCAUCAUCCCCAGCCAGCGCGCAAGCAACCAGCCCCAACCCGCGCAGCACAACCAUCUGCGAAUAACCUGAACCAACAGCCGUGUACCUGCAAGCUCCAGCCGAGCAGCAACCAUCCGCAGCCGGCCUACGCCCUGCAUUCUAGCCGCGUGAAUCAAAAUCCGUGAGUUCAAUUAUUGUAACAAUGCCGAAGAGGAAAGCAUCAACUUCCAAGUCAUCUAAAAAGACACUCGUCGCAAAGAAAUCCAAGAUUUCCGCUCCCACUACGGUUCCAUGGAACACAGUUUUAGAUUCACGCCAAGCCGUGAGAUAAAGAUCGAAACAUGGAAAAGGCAUGAGUGUUUUGCCACUUGCGGAAUCCAAUCUCAGAGGGUGCCUCACAUUCACGACUCAACAAGAGAAAGAAAUGUACAAAGAUAUUUCCAAGCGAAAAAUACUUCCAGCUAAGUAUAUUCAUUACCCGACUCUUGAAAAAUUGAAUGUCAAGAAUAGUUUUGAUUCUUUGAUAGAUAAGAUUGGUUUGCGUAAGUUUGUUGAUGUUGAUUGUUUGGGUUAUGUUGAGUUGAUUAGGGAGUUCUAUGCUACUUUUCAAUUUAAUAUACUGAAUGAUUUUACUUUGCAUACCUCAGAUGUUAUAAAGUUUAGGUUAAUGGGACGAAAUUUUUCACACUCUAUCACGGAUUUUAACCUAGUUUUAGGAUUCAUUGAUGAUGAUUAUUCUUCUAGUGAUGUAUAUUUAGGGACAACUUGUGACUUUAGCGAAAAUUUUGAGCCUUAUGGUCUUUGGCGUAAUUUAUCUGUUGAUCACAAUGCCUAUGACCCAAGUAAAUCAAAGAGUUCUUUCUUACGUGAUCCUGUUUUGAAAUGUAUGCAUCGGUUCUUAGCAUAUAAUUUUUUAGGAAAGAAAGAUCACUCAAGAGUUUUCUCUAAAACUGAGUUUUGUUUUAUCUGGUGCAUAUUAAAUGAUGUGAGGCCUAACUUAGGUUUUUGGUUAGCAGAUCAAUUUCAAAGUGUGCUUAAACGGUAUAGGACUUUAUUUCUUGGUUCAUACAUUACUCUGUUAGUUAUAAACUUAUGUGUGCUUGAUCAUGACAACAAUGAUUUAUAUCCUGCUUGCAAAAAGAAAUUUUUGGAUAUGUCUGUGUUUGAAAGAACAGGUGUGGUCGAAUUCAAGGAGGGGAAAUUUCAGUUUACUGAACCAGGACCCACCCAACUUCCAAAGAAGUUUUAUACUAGGAGUGGUGCUACCUCUGAUGACGAGUUUGACGACGAAACUGCGGCCCCACCAACUAUUCCUUUUACAUCCGCACAACCUUUGAGCAUUCAGUUAGAGAAAAUGGAGCACAAGCUGAACAAGAUGGAGCAGAAUUUGGCCUCAUACUUCGAGAGUGUGGGAUUUAUCCCACCAUUUCCACUAAGCCCAUAGACGUUAUGAGGAUCAAAGCUCACAAUUCAGGAAAGUUUUCGCCUUUAAUCUUUUAUCCUUACGCUUUAAUUUUUAUGUGAGCUUUGAUUAUCUUACAUUGGGGACAAUGUAAGUGUCUGUCAAUGACAAAUUUAACCCACUACCACCAUUCAUAAUUAACCAAAAUCAAAUAAAUUAAAAAAGAAAACACAAAACAAGGAUAACUACUAGUUGUUUUGAUCAUCCUUGCUUCUUUUUCUUAGCAUAGCUCUUGUAAUGAAAAUUAACAAAAAGGGCCAAAAGGGAAGCAUUAAACACAGUAUUGAAGCACCAACCCCAAAACCCAGGGAAACCAAAUCCCGUGAAAUGAUAAUUCAGCAUCAAAAUGAAAAAUGUUAUGGAUGGCUGUGAUGGGUCUGAGGAUGUGGGGUCCAAUGAGAGGUGAUGAUGAUGGUGAUGUUGAUGUUGAUGUGUGGUAGAGGAUGGAUGUGAGGGAGAGGUAAGUAAUGAUGGAGUGAAUGAGGAUGUGUGGGAAGAAAGCUAGGGUUUGGUCUUGAGUCCACGUGAAGUUGAAGACUUGUGGGUGGCUUACAAGCAAUAAUGGAGUGUUAAGCUGAUUGAAUUUGAAGCCAUGGCUGGUUUUGGGGGAAGAUUGAUUUGGGAGAGAUGAUGGUCAGAGGAAUGGGGGAGUUUAGAAAGUUUGGGAUAUUGUGACGGGUGUUUUAGGCAUAUUUUUUCGUCUUAGCUUAAAUUUUUGUUAAAAAAAUGAUAAAUUCUUUUCUCAUAUCAAUUUAAAACUCCGAGUAUGUUUCCAAUUCUUCUUCUAUAGUGUCUAGACCUUUGUUUCAACGGCAUCUUUGGACGCGGGUUUCUUCUUUUUUGGUUAUUUCUUCUCAAACUUGUGCAGAUUACAUGCACUCAACGUGGAACCCUUUUGAAUGGAAGUUACUGUUUUGCUGGAAUCGGGACCAAUUUUUUGACAAAAAUUUCGCUAUAAAAUAUACAAUUAAAGUCGAGUAAGAUUAAGUAAAGUAACAUCUUGUAUGGUAAAGUACAUCGAGUAAGGAUUUCUAUAAUCGAGCUAGAAAGUAUAAUUAAAAUUAGAUAAGAGUGCCGCGGAGCAUUGUUUUAAAGUUACAGUAUCAAAGUAUUUAAUAAAUAUUUAUUAUUGUGACUUAAAAAUUAAGUUGGGAGUACAAAAAAAUCAAUAAUACAUUUAUUAAUUUUGUCAAAAUUAUUAUUUAAAAAUCAUAUAUACAAUACAAGAUCAACAAUUAUAUUAUAGCUUCAGUUCCUUUUUCACAAUAACUAUAACUACAACACGGUAGUACUAAAUAGGAAGUCGAGUAUGAUCAAGUAAUUACAUGUUAUGGUUUUUUGGUAUUACAUGAUUCUUCAAACUGAAAUUUGCGAUCAAAAUUGUAUCAAAGAAAUCACAGAGACACUCUGUUUGACAAAUCUGCAGUAGAAUUUGCACAAUUUAACUGGAUUGCAGAGAGUGAAUAAGAUUCCAAAGCAACAGGCAAUUAUUGUUAUUAAGAAAACAAUUCAUCGCUAGAACAAAAUUAACUUUUCUAACAUACUAGAAUUUAACUGGAGAAAAAUUGGAAUAUACGACGUUGUAUCACAUAUAGUAUUUAGACAUCAAGAAAAGAAUCCCUCUAUUAGUGAACUAUACUUGCCAGGAAACACGGUGAAAUACCACUACCUCCCUACUAGAUUAAUGCAGCAAAAUUGGGCAAUUGACUUGAUUAACUCCAAGAAAUUUACGCAGUCACAUUCUUCCGGACUAUCCUCUUUCUUCGCACUUUAGGAGCUGUUGUUUCCCCUUACAGAGUCGACAUUCCCUUGUUUGAUGCCAAGGAGCCCAAGCCCAGAGCCAAUGGCAUUCUUUGGUAUCAACCACUUUGGGAACUUUUGAGUUGAGCCAUUGACAUCCUGAGACGGCCUGUUGUGAGCCUUCUUCAAAAGGUCAUCUGACUGAAGUAGCGGAUCCGCUUCCACUCCUAGCCAAGCAAGCCUUGAUCUUUCUCCUAAUUGGACAUUAAGAACCCUGCAUGGAAUCCAUUUGAGAAGUUGAACAAUAGACAAAGUCCAACACAUAUAGGCAGUAAAGAAGAAUUUGGACAGCAAUUACUGACUGUUUAUGCACAGGGCUGAACAAAUGGGAAUAUUAAGGCACUUAAAAGUUGGAACCAUAUUCACCACUUGUAUUUCCUCAGAGAACUAUCUCAGAGUUCUGUUAAUUUAAAACCAUUCUAACGUAUUUAACUACAAAACUAGAGAAAUCGUACUUCUGUAGCGGAGUCUCACUAUUGUUAAGGAUCUAGACUUGGAAAGUAUGCAAGUUGAUUAGGUAAAGAAAAAUUGAAAUAAUACUUGGUGAUAGAUCAACACACUUCAAUAGAAACCACACUAACAUCAUAUCAGACAAAUAAACAGAUUCCCCGAGUCAAAGUUUAACAAACAAAACAUUAAAACAAGGAUAAUUUGGUACGACCAGAAUAGUCUAUCAAUGUAUAUAGAGAGGGAGAGACCUCAAAGCAGCGCUUAAGAACAGUGCUACUCCAAUAACAUCAAUAUGGUUGAUGACCGCUCUAUCAAAUCCAUUGGAAAUCGUAUACUUAUAAUUUUUUUUUUCAAACUUUGUCUAAAAUAAAUGAAUGAGAUAAGAUAAAUUCGAAUAAAUUAAUCUGCAUAAUGACACAAGAAACAAAUGUAAAUUGACCACAAGUAGAAAUAUACUUUUGUUAUCUUCCAAUUUCUUUCCCUUGAGCUCUGUUUCUGCGAGUGCUCAAAAGCAAGACACGGGCCUUGUUAAGAGUAUAGCUGAAGCUGGUGACGUGUAUAAGCUGCUGAUGAAGCUGCUGAGCUGGCUGGCUAGUGAUGUGUAUAAAUUGAAGGUGCUGAGCUGGAUUGGGUUGUUGUUUACACCAACUAAAGCUGUAACAGAUUAUCCAGCUGGCUUGUUAUGAUUGGAAAUUAGAUUAGUUUGUUAAUACAGCAAACGAUUAGCUCUGUUUUAGUAGUUAGCCUUGAAUGUAACUAUAAAUACUGGCUAACACGUUUUCAGUGUUAAGCUUGAGUUUUAAUCAAUAAAAAUCAAUUCAGUUAAAGUUUCUUUGUUAAUUUUCUUUCACUUUCUCACUUGCCAAACAACCUAUUAAUUCUAAAAGGCCUCAAGAUAUAAUUAUCAUCAUCAAUCUUUUGCAGCCACAUGCAGUACUUGGAAAAUGUUUAUGGCCCUAAAUAACUGGAAAAUCAGAAAACAUUAAGAACAAGAGACUAAUCAUUUUAAUCGCAACAAAACAUGCACACUAUGAAAAUAUAAAAUUGAAUUACUUCGAAUGGAUGUGCCUCUUAACAGGAAUUGCACAAGCUAAUGAGCAAGUGAGCCUUGAACAGUUAUCACUCAACUCAAACUAAAAUGAAAUUACUGUGGACAUGUGAAUUAAAAAUAGAUGUAAAAGUAGUUUUCUCAAAGCAAAGUCAAGAUAAGAGAUUAACUCUGCUCCGUAAUUACAUUAAAAAUAACAAACAAUGAAAAACAGAGCUAGAGAAGAACUUACCUGUGCGUUGAGACCAUGUGGGGAAUGUGAGAUAUCUUCUUAGAUUUGGUUUGAGAAACCCUGCCAAUUAAAAUUUCGGUCCCCAUGUAGCAGAAUUUCUUAUUUUUCCUUUGUACACAAAUGCAGACACUUAAGCAAAUUAAGAUUUCUUAUCUAAAGCAAAUUAGGAUUUCUUUUGACCCUGCAAAUUACAAUUUCAGUCCCCAUGUAAUAGGAAAAUUUUGUACACAUAUUUAUAGCAAAUUAAUAUUUCAUACCUCACAAUAUUUAUCAGAACCAUCAAUCUUUAGAAACCACAUGCAGACUUGGUAAACUGUUUAUGGCCCAAAAUAACAGGAAAAUUAGAACAGAUUUUUAAGAAUGAGCGACUAAAUAUUUCAAUGGCAACUAAAAUUACACAUCUUGGAAAUCUGAAACUCAAGUACUCAGAACACUGUUAGUGCAUUGCAUAAGUCAAUUGCAUAAUCUUGGGUAAAAAUUACGCAGCAAUUAAACAAGCUGGGAACUUUAGUGCAAAUGCUUUUUCAUAAUCUUCAAUUGCAUAAGUCAGUUAGAAUCAAUCUUUCUUAAUCUUUCAAUUCACAUAUGAGAGCCUGAUAACACAAGGAAACACUGUAAGUGAAUUGUCAACUGUGACAAAUUUUGGGUAAAAAUUAUCAACUGUAGUUAUCUGCAUAACAUUUAGUGUCAACCCCAAAUUCCUUACUGAUCCGUGGAAGCAUUUCAGCCCACAGACGGUUAGCUUUGUCAAUAUACGGCAACUCAGGAUUCUAUAUUUAAACUAUGAUGUUUGAUGACUUGCUGAUACAAAAGACAUUGCCCCAAGCACUUUUUUACAUUAGCUAAAAUCAAGCCAAUCACUUCCAUUUGUUGCAGUUUUAAUGCAGAAAGAAAAAGGUGGGGAAAAAAUCUGCAAGAUGCCACUUGUAAUACCGCAUGUUCGCAGAAGCAGAGUUAAAUAAUUACAAAAUUACAUUCUUUAUGAAAGCUUGCGAUUAUUGGGAGAGCUCUACUCAAAUUUAAUGAGAUAUCUCUCAGAAGGGAGAGCUCUAAUAAUAUAUAAAGCCAAAAAUCUAACACUCAUCAAAUUGGCUUGUGAACAAUUAAUCUUCCUUGCCAUCAUAAAUGCCAGGUGUGGUGAACAAUCUUCAUUCUGACAUUUGCCUUAAUAAGCUGCUUAGUAUCCUUAACCUGAUAACUUACACAAACAAAAACAACUUCACUAAAGUUUAUUCUUUAAAGGCAAAACAGUAAACCAGAUGAUGUAUGCUGAUACAAAAAAUUGACCUGAGUUAUCCUGAUGUCAAGAAUCACAGAACCUCACGUGGGCAAAAUCAUCGCAAUACAAGAUGCUGAAUUCAAGCAACAUCUUAUCACCUGUAAUUUAAUUAAGACAAUAACUUUCCUCAACUAUUAGCCUUCUCAAUUUCAAUGUAUUAUUGGCAACUAAAUUCAUAGGGGACGCAGCUAAUUAAAUGCCCUUUUAACAAUAUCUUCCCCACCUAACAAUUAUUUGGAAAAUCUAAAUGACAAUCAUGCAUUGAUGGCAUAAAAUAUUGGCCACAAAGCUGCCUACAAAAAGGCUUUAAAUUCUUAAUGAGACAACGUAUUCGAACAAAUAUGGUGAAUGAAGAGACAAAGCAUAACACCUCAAGAAGUAAAGCUCUGUUUCUGUAUAUGCUCAAACCAAUGGAAACCCAUGGAAAUGGAUUUCUACGAAUUAGACAUGUCAGCCAAAACAGGUACUCUGUACAGGCAAAGUAAAAGAGAGUUACAAAAAAUUUUAAGAUAAUUAAACUUUUAAUAACCAUAUAAUUAAUAGAAAACUUUGUACACAAUGAUUUAUAUGAGAUUAAGAUUGUAUACCUAAGUUUUAAUUGCAAACUAAAUAUACACAACAUGAUAUUAGCAUUAGAAGACUGCACCAAAACGUACCGAAUUGAAUGUACCUUUUAACGGCCAUUGUACAUGCAUUGAAAGUUUACCGCAAAAUCUGUUUCAAACGUGAUGCAUCUUAGAGAUGCAAGAUGAGAAAUUGUUAGUACAACUAGCAUUGAAACAUGUGUGAAAACUGUUAAUGGACCUAAAUAACUUGAAAAUCAGAAAAGAUUAGGAAUGAGUGACUAAGCCUGCUAAUCACAACUAAUCCAAAACUGUUAAUGGACCUAAAUAAUAGUGUUAAUACCGAAUUCCUUCCUCCAUGGAAGCAUAUGAUCAGCCCACAUGUGCUUUGCUCUGUAGCUUUUGAGUACCUGAAAUUGUUAUUACAACCAGCGGUGAAAAUUGGGUGAAAAAAUGGUAAUGUUAGCAUAAUUGAAUUUGCUUAUAGAGGAUAAACCGAUCAAAGAAAAAAACAAGAUAGAAAUGAUUAUCUUAGUACCUUAAUAUCAUGCAAUAAAAAUCACCAUGCCUUCCAGGCAGCUGUCCAUCCUCAAUUGAAACAGAGCAGACCUGGCCAUCACUUUCUUCUUCAAAGUCCAGCAACGGAACGUUGCACACAACACCACAGUGGAAGUAGUUCCAUCACCAGCCUAAUCCUUGAUUACCCCAAUGUUCUCCAUAGGGUCUUCAAAGUCAACCUAAAAAUAAAAUGAAAAUGCAAUGCAUUAUUAUUAGGGAUCUAGUGCUUGAGCUUGCUUUGACAUCAUGGUAUUAGCAAAUUCUGAUAUAGCCAAAAUGGUGAAUAAGAUGAUGUACUUGAUAAGAAAAACCUGAUUUAACAAAUAAUUAAGAAGCCGGUAACAAUCACAUAAUCUCAUCAUGUGGGGAAUGCCUUGGUAACAGAAGAUGGUGCUUUCAUUCAAGCAAUAGCAACUUUCCAAUUUCAUAAGGUAGUUUAAUGGCCCUUUUAAGAACAUCUGUACCAGCCUAACAAUUAUUCAUGGAAAUUAAAAUUCAGAAUCAUAUUAGAUUGAGAGAUGAAAUAUAAUAAGCGAUUUGGCCACCAUAUAUGCAUUUAUCACCUUCAAUUUGCUCAUCUUUGUCUAGAGUAUUGCUUCUGCAUUAACUUAAUUAGCUUGCAAGCCACCUACAAAUGGUUUUAAAUAAUGUGUGAGAGUGUGAAUUCGAACGAAUUAAUCAAAUAUGCUGACAGGAGAAACAAAAGUAAAUAACCACAAGAAGUAGAAAUAUACUUUUGUUAUAUUCAGAGCAUCUUCUUGCGUCAAGUUCUUUUCCUUUAGCUCUGUUUCUGUUUGUGCUCAAACGCAAUGGCUCAAGGGUCAAGAUAAUUUUAUGACCAUCAAUCUUUUUGCAGCCACAUGCAGACUUGAAAAACAGGUCGUGGCCCUAAGGAACUUGAAAAUUAGAAAAGAUUCAGAAUGAGUGACUAAAUAUUAUAAUCGAAACUAAUUAAACAUACACGCCUAGAAAAUCUGAAACUGAACUUCUCAAAUGUAUAUGCCUCUUCGCAGCAAUUGCUUGUGGUGGAACUUUACUGCAAGGACUUUCUCAAACCCUUGAAGAUCACACUCUACCUGAUAACAAAGAAACAUAGUCAAUAUACGAAGAUGAUUUUACUAACAAGUGAGUGCUUACACAUAUUGGAAGGAUAAUGAUUACUCAUAACCCAAAUCCCCAACACUCCCUAAUAUCUCACUCAAGUGAGUUCGAGCCCCCAGAAUUCACUACUGUGAAACUCUUACAACAAAAUUCCCUUCAAAGAUUCUCUACUCAAAUUUGAUGAUGAUGUCCCUCGAAAGGAGGCAAAAAAUCUAACACUGAUCAAAUUGGCUUGUGAACAAUUAAUCUUCCUGCGAUCAUGCAUACCAGGUGUGGUGAGCAAUCUUCAUUCUGACAUUUGCCUUAAUAAGCGGCUUAGUAUCCUUAACUUGAUAACUUACACAAACAAAAACAACUUGAUUAAAGUUUAAUAUUUAGAGGCAGAACAGUAAAGAAGAUGAUAUAUAUUGAUACUAAAAUUUGACCUGUGUUAUCCUGACGUCAAGAAUCACAGCAUCUCAUGUGGGCAGAAUCUUUGCAGUACAAGAUGCUUGCAAAAUUGAAGCAGCAUCUUAUCACCUGUAAUUUAAUUAAGACAAUAACUUUCCCCAACCAUUUCAAUGCAUUAUUGCCAACUAAAUUCAGAGGGUGCUAAUUAAAUAGCCUUUGAACAAUAUAUUCUAAUUCUUCUCCAAUCUAACAAUUAUUUGGAAAAUCUAAAUUACAAUCAUGCAUCGAUGGCAUCAAAAUUUGGCUACAAAGCAGCCUGGAAAAGGCUUUACUCUCUGAAUGAGAGCAUGAAUGAAGAAACAAAUAUCAUGAAUGAAGAAACAAAGGCAUAAUACCACAAAAAAUAAAACUUUUUCCCAGGCUCUCUGUUUCUGUUUGAACUAAAACCAAUGGAAACCGAUGGAAAUGAAUUUCUAGGAAUUAGACAUAUCAGCCAAAACAGUUACUCUGUACAAGCAAAGUAAAAUAGGGUUACAAAAAAUUUUAAGAUUGAUAUGAUAAUUAAAAUUUCAGUCACCAUAUAAUUAAUAGAAAACUUUGGACACAAUGAUUUAUUGCAUAUUAAAUCAAAUUUGUGGAAAUUAUCGGCUGUAGUUACCUGGACAAUAUUGCCAACACCAAACUCCUUCCUCAAUUGAAACCUACGAUCAGCCCACAAAUGCUUUGCUUUGUAGCUUUUUAGAGCCUGAAAUUGUUAUCACAACCAACAGUGAAAAUUGGGUGAAAAAAUUGAUAAUAUUAGCUUAAUUCCAUAUGUUUAUAUAGGAUAAACCGAUCAAAGAAUGAAAAAAGAUAGAAACAGAGCAGACCCAGCCAUCACUUUCUUCUUCAAAGUCGCACAAUAACCACAGUGGUAGUCGUUCCACUGCCAGCCUAAUCCUUGGUCACCCCAAUGUUCACCUUGAAGUAUUCAAAGUCAACCUAAAAAUAAAUAAAAAUGCAAUGCAGGUGGAAAUAAAAAUUCUAUAAAUAAAAUAAAAUAAAAAUGCAAUGCUUGAGCUUGAGCUUGCUUUAGCAUCAUCGUAAUAGUAAAUUUUGAUAUAUCUUUACUUCUCUGUUCUUGUUUAUUCACAACAAGAUAUCAAUAGAAGAAGAUGGAAAUGAAAUUCUAUAAAAUAAAGCAAGUGAAUUACCAGCAGAACAUUUUAGCAAUCCUUUGGCUAAACUUUUCAUUUUCUUUGCAAACUCUCCUGCCUGCAUCAUUAAAACCAAAUUACACAAUUACUUUAAAGUGGGCUAAUCAAACAAGUAUGAAAUAAAACAAAGUGGGCUAAUGUACUACUAAAAACAAUUACACAAUUACUUUAAAGAAUUAAUGUCACGUAUAUUAUCACUAUACAAGAUAAAAUUGAUAAUUUAGUUUUCAACAUUACUGCAAACGUAUCACAGAGAUUUUGUUACACAUAACAAAUUUUCGUACAUUAAAAAAUAAAUUACAUUGCAUGAAAUUUUACAAAAGAGCACAUAUUUUUUAAAAACAAAUAAAUAUAGAAAUUUCAACAGACUACACUUGUAUUUUUUUUUAUUUAAUCUUUAGAAAACAAGUUUAACAGAUUUGAUAACUAGGAAGUUUUACGUAUUUAUACCAUGAUUGAUUCUAUACAGAAUUUUAAUUCAAAAUAUAAUUAUUUUUAUUAAUUUCAUUGCAAGCAACAACGAAGUAAAUCAGAGGAGCAGGAGAAAUUACCGGCGAGUGAUAAAUUACCGCGACCACUUGAUGUGGGGAAAGCGAGAUAUCUUAUGCCAGUCUUCUCCUUUCCCCUCUCUAUAACGGUUUUCCAGAAGAGGACAUUUGUCAAUAGUCAAUUCCUGCAGCGUCGACGUUCGAAGAAGGUAAUCCGGCAGCGCCUUCAAUUUGUUGCAAGAACGAACUUCCAAGGAAGAAAGACGUGGCAUGAUAGAGAUGUUUUCCCUCCUCGUAAUCCUGUAAUUCCACUCUUCCAAUUCUUCCAUUGCCCCAAUUAUGAGUGAUUUCAAUUUGGGGAAGGCAAUAACUGAUGGUGCUGAUGAAGAUGAAGACGGGCCAUCCUCACUGCUUUCUUCUAUUCCCAAAAACUCAUUACCCACUCUUUUUACACUUUUCAAGUGGAUGAUUACGAGUUUUUCCAGAGGCAAUUUUCCCAAAGGAGGCAAAUGCUCACACUUAACGCACGAGCGAAGAUAUAAAUUCCUUAGAUUGGUCAGUGAAGUCAACCAUUUGGGAAAAAUGUUGCGUCCAUAUAAUAUAAUCCCUAAUUUCUCUACACUCAAAGGCGGUUGUAAGGCUUUAAGAAGUUGUUCAUCUUUCUCUUUCUUCCUCCUCCUUUCUUCAUCUUCCCCAUCUACGACUCUACCAAACUCAAGACGCAAACGAAGGAGGUUUUGCUGAUUGUAAAGUUGUAAUCUCUCGACCUCAUCUAAACGGGACACAUUACCCAGCCCUUCAAUUCCACAUUCUCGAAGGAGUUGAAGAUUUUUCAGAGAUUCAAGCCUACAAGUAUUGCUACCAUCAACACCUCCACCCACCACAAACUUGUCUAAUGUUCGAAGACUGGUUAAUUUGGAAAUCCCUACUGGCAUGUAUUUCAACGAAUAAGUUUCAGCAUUCAGUAAACUCCUCAUGUUCUUUAACUUCCCAAUCCCCGCUGGCAAUUCUUUAAGAUUUCGGCACCGCCUAAUAUCUAGCUUUUGUAAAUUAUAUAAUUCACACAAAGUCUUAGGUAGUCUCUCUAUGCCUAAUUCAGACAAAUUAAGAUAUCUUAAAUGUAUCAAUUUUCCGACAUUUUUUGGAAUUUCUCUAAUCAAACUUGAGUGAAGACGAACAGGCGAGGAUGAUAGCCUUAUAACUAAUGAUUCCCUUAUAACUAAUGCCCUCAAACAUGCCAAUUUACUAAAUAACUUUCGAGUUUCUCUAAUCUUAUAUGUGUUUGGACAAAAACAUAGGCGCAACAGCCUUAUAACUAAUGCCCUUAAACAUUCUUUGCUACUACUAAAAGACGAAAGGAUGCUACUAAGAGACAGAUUGAAAUCACUUCUAUCAUAAAUUAAAAGGGUACGCAAUCUAUCAAGUCCACGAAUGGAUAUAGGAAAUGAAGUGCCUCUUUGAAAAUUUAACCCUAAGUGACGGACUUUGUCACCAAAAGAGUUUAUGACUGAGUCUUUGGUACCAUUAAUUUCUACCCACAAACAUUCUUUUCUACUUACAAAUUGGGCAAAAUCAUGUAUUAUGUCAUGCAUCUUGCAGCUCAUAAUAUCAUCAUCAUCAUCUUUUUUAAACUCUUGAAAGAAAGAGCGUGCUGCUAAAAUGUUGAAAUACUCUUCCCCAAUCAUCUCCAUCUCUUCGUCUUCUUCUGUAUUAAGAUAACCUUGAGCCAUCCAUAGUGAAAUUAGUUCCUCUUUAUUCAUAUUGUAGUUUUUUGGAAAGACAGCACAAUAUGAGAAACAUUGUUUUACCAUAGAAUUGGAGGGCAAAUCGUUAUAACUCAACAACAAAGGAGCUAAAAGACCUUGCCCAAUUGCUUCUACUUUCCACAUUUCACUCUCUAAAAUUCUUUGCCACUCUUUUACUGUACUUUUAGAGCGCAAGAGAUUCCCUAUUACCUUUGCAGCAAGAGGCAAGCCUUUGCACUUAUGUGCAAUUUUGCGCCCGAUUGGUUCUAAUUUUUCACGAUCCUCAAAGGACCUACGCAGAAAUGCCAUCUGCUUAAACAGUAACCAACAUUCCCCUUCUCCCAACUCCUUGACAGGGAUAAUAUCUAUUGAUCCCAACUGUAGUGCAACUGACCUAUCACGUGUGGUAAUUAGAAUUUUACUUUCAUGGUGGCCAUUCUUUAGACAAGAAAAGAAUGGGUCCCAUUUUUUGUAAUCUCCAUCCCACACAUCAUCUAAAACAAGAAAAAAUUUCUUCCCCGUAAUAUAUUCCUGAAUCUGUUUCAUAAGAGAUUCGAAUUCACUUAAACCAGAAGCUGACACGCCUAGACCUUCAAUGAUUGCUAUGGCGACCCUAAUCUCCUCAAAAGUGUCUGAUACACACACCCAUAUAACUUUUUCAAAAUUUCUUUUCACCUCAUCAUUAUUAUAGGCCAGUUGUGCUAGAGUGGUUUUACCUAUACCCCCUAACCCAACUAGUGAGAUGACAUGAAGGCCUUCUUGUUGUUCACUACUUUCACACAACAGCUUGCUUAAGAGCUCAUUUUUCUCAUCAACUCUACCACAAACCUCUCUCUCAUCAAUCAAGGGGAUGGCUCGCACUCGCUCUGGUUUCUUAACAUUGUUGCUCACAUUCUCAACAAAUUUAAACCUAUCUUUUUGGGAGGCAAUAUCAUCUAGCUUUCCAUUGAUUUCCCUAAUCUUGACGGCAAUGUCAUGACGAAGACUGAGUUUUUUGAAACUACCAAAGCAGUUUGAUAGAGCACAAAAGAAGGAACGUACCUUCUUCUUAUAAGGAGCAAGAGCAAGAGCAUUGUCAUCAUCAACGCCCUCAAUCUGCAAUUUGAGCCUUGCAGUGGUCCACUCCUCCAACACGUCUUCCAUGUCAUAAGAUGCGUCUUUGAGCUGAUCCAGCCAAAAAGUAACAGCAUUGUCGCGCUGCAUUUGCCUUUUCUCUGCAUCUUCCAGCACAGCUCGAAUGGCUCGAAGAUUGCGGGUGAGCUUUUUCACUUCUUCCUCGACACCAGUCACAAGCCUCACCUGUUGUUUCACUUCAUCAGCCGCAACAGAGCUCAGCUGCACCAGGAGAGAGGAAACGAUCGCAUCAACCAUUCUGACAAAGAAGACGAGAAUUCUGAAGAGUUAUUAGAUGUGCUUUUGUUGCGAAAAUGCUGAAGAAAAGGAGUUAUUGCAUUCUUUUAUACUGCAUAGAAAAGGUUUAUGCUUAUCCCCAACCCACACGUCAAUGAUUGUAGAAUGUUUAAUUUCCCUGAUUCUACUCCACUAGUUGUGAUGCGUAAUUAUAAAUAUUCUCAAAUUAUGUAUGAAAAUAGCACAAAUUUGGACCUACAAUGAUUUUUAUGAUUUUUGUGUCUUUACUUUUUCAUAAUCUUCUACUGUAAGGGUUCAGAUUUAAUUACUGCUUUAAAAAAUGAGCAAACAAAUAAUAUCAAGCAUUAACUAAAAUUCACAAAGGAAUAAAUAACGAAAGAAAAAAAGAUUGGAAAAGUCAUAGAUGUAAAAUAGCACAUUUUUUUUAAUAAUCUCAAUAAAAUUAUUAAUAUUCAUGUCAGUCCCUAAAAAAUUAAUAAAUAUAACUAAAAAAAUCUUAUUAGUCUCCAUGAUCAAAAUUUAUUGAAAUAUUUUUAGCGUGGGUUAAAAAAAAAAAAAAACUUUCCCAACUUCACACUAGCUAAAUCUUAAAUACAUGUUCCAAUAUAUAUAUAUAGAUAUAUUCUUUCUCGCAGACGUCCGUACAAAAUAAAGUGCGAAUACGACAUUUUCCAGUCUAUCAAAAUGAUUUUUAUUAUUGUAAAACUAUUAAUAAUAAACUAAAAUAUUAUAUUUGCAUAUUAUUUCGUGCAAAAAUAUGUAGAGAGAUAAUAUCUUAAUUUCUAGGGUCCGGCUACGGUGCAACUGUGGUACCUUACCAUAGUUGCAUCCAGUUGUUGGAUACACUUGCAUGGAUAUGUGAAAUACUAACUAGGCAAUCCAAGAAGGGGGGUGAAUUAGGAUUUUAAAAAUUAAGUAAAGCAAACCACACAAAUCCAAUCUAAUGCCUUAAUAAAUUCGAAAACAAUAAAUUCAAUGAAAGCACAAUAAUAAAUGAGUAAGGGAAGAGAAAGCAAACUCAAUGAUUUUUACGUGGUUCGGCAAUCCCCGCCUACGUCCACGCCUCCAACCACACCGGGCUUGAGGAUUUCACUAUCCAAGCCUUUCCAAGGCUUCAAAUGUUUACAAUUGACUUUAAGGUGUCAAUGAACCUUUACAACAAGAGAUUAUCUCUCCAAUCUCUUCACUCCAAGUGUUUCUCACACUUGUACUCUCACAAUUUAAUGAGAAAUGAAAAAUACAACAAUCAAACUCUCUUUAAGAGUGGAUAUACAAAUUUAAGAACAAAGAUGAUUUAAUGAAUGAUGAUUCACGAAAUUGAAGCUCAAUAUAUGUUGUGUGCACUUGUUCUUGCUUUCUUGGAUUACCAAAAAUGAAUUGAUUUUGAGUUUAUAUAGUUUGAACUCAAAAACUAGCCAUUAUACACAUUCUGGGCGUAUCCGGUUUGCCAUUUAAGGAAUCCGGUAAGCUGGAUUUAUGUUACCACUAAGGCAAAAAUUUGAAUUUUGCCUAACCGGCUUGCCGGUUACGAAAUCCGAUAAGCCGUUUGCGUUCCGGAUGCUUACUGCCCCGUAUCCGGUUUUCUAGUUUUUUAUAUCCGGUAAGCCGGAUGCUACAGUAACCUGCAUAGUGCACUAUUUUCUGAAAUUACAGUUUGACCCCAAAACUUUACAAAACUAUAUUACGGCCCAAAAAGUUAUAAAACUUUUCAAAUAGAUCCAAUUUUAGAAUUUAUAAGUAAUGCUUUGUUAAUCCCAAAACUUUCUGAAAUUAUGAUAUAGCUAAAAAUGCUAUGACACUUUUCAAAUAAGUCCUCCAAAAUUUCAAGCAAUACUUGUUUAUUUCAAAGUUUUCAAAAUUCUUUUAAUUAAACCAUAAACUUUGAAAAACAACCAAUUUCAUAAAAUUAUUUUUCCAUUAAAUAUGAAACAUUUAUAAUGUGAAAAUAAUGAUUUAUUUAAAAAGAAUAAAAACAAUCAAUUUCAUAAAAUCAUUUUUCCAUUAAAUAUAAAACAUUUAUAAUGUAAAAAUAAUGAUUUAUUUAAAGAGAAUAAAAACAAUCAAUUUCAUAAAAUCAUUUUUCCAUUAAAUAUAAAACAUUUAUAAUAUGAAAAUAAUGAUUUAUUUAAAAAGAAUAUUAAAUAAUUUGAGCUUAAAAGAUUAAUCAUUCUUAAUUUUGUUUGUUAUCAUCAAAAUCAAUAUUAUGGAAACAUAUAUGUUAACAAUAGGGUCCACUAGUAUCCAACGGCUGGAUGCAACUAUAACACGGUACCACAGUUGCACCACAAGUUUUUCCUAAUUUCUAAUAACAUCAUAAUCAAAAUUUUAUCAACAUUUAUGCGAAGGAGUCCCCACUCUCCACCUGGGGGGAUUUGGCAUUUGAUGAAAAAAGUUAUGCUUAUCCCCACCCACACGUUAGUGGUUGUAGUAGCAUCUUUAAUUUCCCUGAUUCUACUCCACCGAAGAACGAAUGUUUUGUAGUAACAUCUUUAAAUUCCCACACGUUAGGAAUAUAUUCUUAAACUCGUCGCAUCUUUAACGUAUGAGGUUGAUGAAUAUAUUCUUUUCUCAUGUCAAUUUCAAACUCCGAGUAUGUUUCCAACAAUUGCUUUUCUUUUUCUACUUUUGGAUUUUUGAAUCAUAAUUUUUCAAUUCAAUAAUGGCCUCUUCAAUUAUAAAAUAUGGUAGAAGGGGAUGGGGUGUAGUGAGAUCUAGGCCUCCGCGACAACGGCAUCUUUGGACGUGGGUUUCAUCAUUUAUCCUUUUUUAUUUUAAAAAAAAAUUACUUCUUGCAUGAUCUAAUUGGUCUUGUUUCAAAAGAACCAAAAAAAUAAUUAAAAAAAUAACUAAACUAAAAUAAAAUAAAUCAUAUUCUUUAUCUUAAUUGCUUUCAUUUGUGAAUUACAUGUACUCAUGCAUUGUGUUUUUGUAUAUUUUUUUGAUAUGUUUCUUUAAGGGAUAAACUAAUUAUGUAGCAAAAUUUUAUUAGAGCUAGGAUUAUUUAUAUAUGUUCUAAUACUUUGAACAUCUUACUAUACAGUCGUCUAUCAAAUUUUAACAGUAAUUUUUACUACUCAUUAAAAUAUCAAAAUAGUCCUUGUUAAACAUUUUUCAUAAAAAUUUUUUUAUAUACUGAUAUAUUACAAUUAAAAUUCUAUUCCAAGAUAGUCCUUACCUAAACAUCUUUCAUUAAUGUUCAUUUUUUUUAUACACUCAUAUAUUACAAUUAGAAUUCUAUCAAAACUAUCCUUGAUAAUUCUAACAUGGUACAGCCCAAAUUUCUACCCUUGCAUAAUACUAGAGAGAUAUUUAUUCUACUCUUAUUAAUCGAGAGAUAAUUUUAUUUCUAACUGAUUUAAUUGGGAGGAAAAUCGAAAGAGAUAUCUACUCUGUCCUUAUUAAUUGAGAGAUAAUUUUACCCUUACCCAAUUUAAUUAGAAAGGAAAUCGAAUUCCAACAAUAACUAGGACUCGAAUCCAUGCACUUAAGCUAACUUUAAGUUCUUGGACGCAUGGUGAUAAUGUUCUUUAUUUAAAUCCUAACAAAUGGUGGGACUUGAACUUGUGCCUACAAACAUUGAGUGCUCAGGGGCUGCAAAAUUUCAUAACUUAAUUUUAGUUGAUGUGGCAUGUGCCCUAUCACAUAAAUGUAGAUAACGAUAAUUAAUACAUUAACAAAAUGAAAAAUAUUAGUUUACAAAAUAGAAAGCCAAAUUUUUUGUGUGAGAGGGGAUUUAAAAGGUAGAGACUAAACAAAUGUGGUGAAAAACGACAUGUAUUACUAAAACUGAAAAUACGAAGUCUAGGCAACUGAAAACAUCUCUGUCAAUUGCAAUGAACAGAUCACAACCCUUCUUAAUUAAACAAAAUAAAACUUAAAAAAAAAAAAAAAAUACACACACACACACAAAACAAUCACAACACACUAUUUGUUCUGAUCAUCCCUGCUUUUUCUUAGCAUAGCUCUCGGAAAGAAAAGCCAUUAUCUUACUAAUUCAUUUGGUCAUUUGAAACUCCAAGAUCUAAUUCAAAGAGCGCGACUCAAAUAAUGGCAAUUAGUAAUUUAUUACAUCUGCAGUUAGAUACUUUGUUUGAGAAAAAAGAAUAAAAUCAGUUCCAUAAUGAUUUUAAUUACAAUAAAUAUCAUACUAUGGUCUAUGGACACGCCUCAUAUUACAAAGAAAAUAAGUAAAAUAUAAUUAAGGGAUAAAGCUUUCGACAACCAUUUAUAAAAUUGCUUUUGGAAAAUUGUUCUGAUGAAAUGAAAUUAUAUGAAAUUACUAAGAAUUUAAUCUGCCUCUGAAGGAGGAUCAAUUUUAGAUGAUUUUUCUAUUUAUUACUAUUAUGUAGUCGUUAGAAAUUUCAAAAUUUGAGAAUUUUGCUUGUAGUUACAGGUUUCAGUCAUUUUGAUUUGGAGACUGAUUGAUAAUUAAAGCUAAUGCUGCAAGUAAAAAACAAAAUGAAAAAUAAUUAAAAAAUAAAAAUCAAGGAGUUAGGCCCAAACUUUUUAUUAAACUUUUAAUAAAGUCUAUUUGUCAUUUUGUCAUAAUGGAAAAUAAUUAAUAAAAAAUCAAACAACCGGUUUACUUUGACUUUAUUUCACAGAAUAUAAUGUCUGAAAUUUAUAUAUCAUGUAUUCUAGGGUCAAAUCAGUCUUUUUGCACCUAACUUUUAAUAUUUCAUUAAGAAACCGCAAAGAUUAUUUCAAAGCCUUUAGGGUCAUGGUCUCCUCCGGAAGUAGGGAUGGCAAAAUGUCGGGUCGGGCUCGGGCUUGGCCAAGCCCGAGCCCGACCUGAUAAAAAAAAUUUAAAACCCGACCCUAAAAAAGCCCGAACACUAUUUAGUUAGGGUCGGGCCGAGCCCGGCCCGAAUCGGGCCAACAUCGGGUCGGGCCCAACCUGACCCUACCGAAAUAAUUAACCUCACAAUUUAAUUUUCAUUUUCCACCACCAUUUCAACCAAUUCGGCAAUUACUCAACCAUUUCAAACACAAUCUAAUCCACUUUUCACAACUAUUUCAAUCAAUUCCACAACUAUUUCAACCCCACACACAAAUCAAUUCCAAAAUCUAACAUGAAAAACACACAAUGUAAUAAAAUAAAAAACACACAAUGUAAUUUCACAACUAUUUUACCCAUACACAAUUCAAAUUUUGAGCUUGUUUGUUUUUAUUUUUAUUUUUAUUUUUUCAUAUUACUUUAGUCAUUGAAGAUUGUUUUAAUGUAAUUAUCUCAUUUUAGUUCGUUUUUACCAAUUUUCAACAAAAAAUGAAAAUAAAAAUUACUGCUAUGAAAUCAAAUGAAUAAAAAUUAAAAUAAACUACUAUUAUCGAAUCAAAUCGAAUCACCAUCUCUUUGCCCUCUUCUGCAUUAAGGUAACCUUGAGCCACUGAUAGUGUAAUUAGUUCGUCUUUAUACAUAUUGUAGUCUUUUGAAAAGCCUCACCUGUUCACUUCAUCAGCAACAAAGGAGUUCAGCAGCUCUAGGAGAGUGGAAGCGAAUCAAGCGAUCAAAGAAAAGGAGAAAUAAUUUGAUGAGUUAUUAAGCGUGCUUUUGUUGCGAAAAUACCGAAAGAAAAGGAGUUGUCGCAUUCUUUUUAUACUGCAUGAAAAAUGUUUACUCUUAUCCUCUUGUAUCUAAUAGUUUAAAUCUCCAAAAUCUUUCUUUAUUUGAGUUUUAAAAAAAUUAUGUGAAUUUAUUGUAAUUAUUUCUUGGGAGUGGGGGUGGAUUUACAAAAAUUGCAGGGUGAAAAUAUCACUACCUUUUUUGUUUAUUAAUUAUUGUAAAAUGCACAUCUAUCAUAUGAACACAUGUUUUAUUUGAAAUUUACCUCCUACUUAGAAUAACAAUCUUUAAUUUAUUUCUAAAAGAUGUGAAACAUCAAUUUAACUUGUUUAUUUAAGAAGACAAAAUGUAUCUUUUGAACAAAUAUAAGGACAAAUUGAGGUUUUUACCCUUUAAGAAGUAAAUUAAAGUUUGUUAUUCUAGUUUGGCAUUAAAAAGAAGCUUACCUCUGUAAGAUAUAUAUCAGGUAGACCAAGGUGACUUCGUCGUGAAUUCUUGUAAUCAAUUUCUCUUGUUCUUUUAUCUAAUUAGAAAAGAAAAUUAAGGGGAGCAUUGUCUAUCGAAUUGAGCUUCUCUCAAGAAAAACACGCACGGAUGAUUUAUAUAUAACCAUUAAAUAUGUUAAGACUUUUUGUUAUUUUUUGAGUCCUAAAAGUAUGAGAGAAAUUAACAUUUUUUGAAUUUAUUUGUAUACCGUAAAUUAAAGAAUGAAAUUAUUUACAAAAUUAUUUUAACUUUCGUGAUUUAAACAAGCAAUCAUCAUUGAUUUCAAUACAAAGAAGUAUUAUGGGUAGAACCGAUUUCUUUACCAAGAUAUGAUGUACAUGUAUUUGGGACUUCUUACUCUAUUAGCUUAAAUAACUACAUAACAAAUAUGACAUGAUUUAAUUGGUCUUGUUAUUGACAUGUACUAAUGCAUUCUAUUUUUGUAUAUUUUAUUGAUAUGUUUCUCUUGAGGUUGAGGAUAAUUAAUAUUCACUAUGUGGCAAAAUUUUAUUAAAACUAAGAUUAUUUAUGUUCUAAUACUUUGAACAUCUUAAUAUACACUCAUCUAUAAAAUUUUAACACUAAUUUUUGGAUAAAUUAUAUUUUAACCCCUUAUGAGAUUGACAUAUAUUUUAAUUUACUGAAAAAUAAAAAAUAAAAACUUCAAUUUACUCUCUAAAAUCUGUUAAAUUUAACUAUCAACCACUAUUGACUCACUAAAAUACGUUAAUACCCCUGUUAAUUAUAGAAUAACUUAUGUUACUGAUAUAUUUAUGUUGGAAAGAUAUAUCACUUAUAUCCCUACUAUUUCUAAAAUAUAACUAAUUCAAAUUUUAUGUGUGUCAUUAAUGAAAAUCAUCCUCUAAUCUAUUUUUUAAAAAAUAAAACAAAACCUCAAUAAUAAUAUUACAUAAAACAAGCAUAUUUCAUGUUAACCCAACCAAAAACCAUCUAAAAACCUCCUUCUACACAUAGAUACAAAGAAAAUCUUACCCUUAAGAUUCUCGAAUUUAAACAAAAAUUAUAAAUUUUGAAAUAAAAAUCGGAAAAUUUAUAAAAAAGUAAAAUAUUUUUUCCCUCUCUUCUACUUUCUUCAUCUUCUUCGUUCCAUUCCCUGUUCAUCUUCUUCUUCGUUCAUUUUUUUUUUUUUCUCUUUCACUCACUUAACAACUCCAUAGCCACUGUUAAUUCCAAAUCAGCCCAGCAAAACCCAUGUCCAUUGCCCGGCAACACCCAUGGCCUCGCACCGCCAUGUCCAACAAAACCCAUGGAUACGCUAGCAAAACCAUGGCAGCUGGGUACGGGCAUUCCAUGCAAGCCCAUGGCUGUACGCGGCCAAUCCAAGCAAGCCCAUGGCUGCGCGUUGCGACCAUACCAAAGAGAACCUUGCAGAUGUUUUGACCAAGCCGAUAAAUACUGAUAAGUUUGUCUGGAGUAGAUCCUCUUGUGACCUAGCAGAAACGUAGGCAACAUGAUUAUGGCGAAGCAGAAAGGAUGGUGUGGAGAUUGAUUGCUUUUCAAACAAAUCUCCAAGUGGGAGAAUGUCAAAGUUUGGCAAAGUUUGGCAUGGCUGCAUCUUAGCUACAUCUAGAAGCUUGGCAUAAACAAAGAAUGGUGGCACAUGGCUUUAAAACUUGAACAUGGUUUUUACCCACCAAGCUUUGAUGAACAUGGUUUUGAAGAAGUUUUUAAUAUCCAUGGCUUUGACUUCCUUAGCCUUGAUUUUGCUAUAAAUACAAGUGAAAUUGAAGAGCUUAUUCAUUCCAUUUUUUAGAGCAAUUAAGGGAGUUGAGAGAGAGUUUAAGAGCUUGCAUUUAUAAGCUCUUAUUUUAGUGAUUUGAGAGUUUGGGUGUAUUGGGGUUUUGGGUAGUGAGCUAAAAUACUACAAUACUUGUAACUCCUUUUCACUAGUAAAAUAUUUCCUUCUGUCUUCGCCCGUGGAUGUAGGCUAAAAGCCGAACCACGUAAUUUUCGGUGUCCUCUAUUGUGCUUGUUCUUUAUUUUAUUUCCAAUUUUAUUUUAGCUGCGGUCCUGCUGCACCCACCAAUUUCCUAACAUUGACUACAUUAACUCCAAGAAAUUUAUGCAGUCACCUUCCUCCGGACUAUCUUGUUUGACGCCAAGGAGCCCAAGCCCAGAAACAAUGGCACUCUUUGGUAUCAACCACCUGGGGACUUUUGAGCUCAGCCAUGACAUCCUGAGAUGGGCUGUUGUGUAAGCCUUCUUCAAAAGGUCAUCCGUUGAUCUUUCUCCUAAUUAGACCAUCAAAACCCUGCAUGGAAUCCAUUGGAGAAGUUGGACAAUAGACAAACUCCAACACAUAUAGACAGUAACGAAGAAUUUAGACCGCAAUCACUGUGGCUGAACAAAUGGGCCUAUUAAAGCCUAUUAAAAGUUGGAACCAUAUUCACCACCCGCAUUUCCUAAGAGAACUAUAUCAGAAUUCUGUAAAUUUGAAACUAUUCUUACAUACUUAACUGUAAAACAAGAGAAAUUGUACUUCCGUAGCAAAGUCUCACUAUUGGUAAGUAUCUGGACUUGGAAAGGAUGCUAGUAGAUUAAGUAAAGGAAAAUUGAAAUCAGACUUUGAGGUGAUAGAUCUAUAUCCACUUUUAUAGGAACCGCAUUAACAUCAUAUGAGACAAAUAAACAAAUAACCCAGUCAAAGUUCAACAAACAAAACAUUAAAACAAGAGUAAUUUGGUCUAUCAAUGUAUAUUUAGAGAUGUCGAUCAAUAGACAAAUACGUAAAAGAGAGACGGAGAGACCUCGAAGCCGUGCUUAAGAACAGUGGUACUCCAAUAACAUCAAAAUGGUUGGUGACCGUUCUAUCAAAUCCACACAAUAGCUGAUAUCUCAUGUUUGCAUAUAGUCCAAUGAAAGCACCAUAACCCGGCGCUUUAGUACUUACU